rnacentral:rRNA from 1 species
UACGUAGGGUGCGAGCGUUAAUCGGAAUUACUGGGCGUAAAGGGUGCGCAGGCGGAUAUAUAAGUUAGAUGUGAAAUCCCCGAGCUUAACUUGGGAAUGGCAUUUAAGACUGUAUAUCUAGAGUUUGUCAGAGGGGGGUAGAAUUCCAAGUGUAGCAGUGAAAUGCGUAGAGAUUUGGAGGAAUACCGGUGGCGAAGGCGGCCCCCUGGGAUAGAACUGACGCUCAGGCACGAAAGCGUGGGUAGCAAACAGG